UGUCAUGAAACAAUGAAGUAAAGAACAAAGUCAUUAGGUUGGUGUUGUGAACAGCUGUGAGGUGUUGCGUGAGCUAGUGUGGGUUCUGGAGUGGGAGCGGUUAGGAGAAUUCUGAAUUGGGGCCUUGAAGCAGGGAGUAAGGGGACAAGGUAGAGUAGGUAAUAUUUCAGAGGUAGGAUUCACAAAGCUGAGAGAUGAGUCUGAGGGAGAAGCAGGGCCAGUUGAAUAUGACUCAGAAAUUUCUGGCUGGAGCAGCUCAGUGGAGGAGAAGUAGACCCACAGGACCAGGAGGUGGUUUGAAUUUGAUUCUGAGCACAUGGAAGUAAAAGUGCACACAGGACAUCCGGCCAGGGCGGUGGUGGUCCCCAGAAGUGCAGGCUCAGAGACCAAUGGAGAGAAGCAGGUAACAAACGUCAGAGGUCAGCAGAGCGUGGGGGCCUCUGCUCAGGAUCCCUCCCUCCCUCUUCCCUGGAUACAGAACCCCUUUUGUCUGGGAAUGGGGCUGACCUUCCUGCCUAUGGUCCCAGACACGAGACUCUCACAAGAGCCACCAAGUCCACAUACCACCAUGCCUUCUGGUCACUGUUGCCUGACUCAGUGUUGGAUCAAGGCAAGUCAAAUGGUACUUCUGUCCACCAAGCAUCCAGACUAAGAAACAUCCACCUCCCCCAACUGAUGACAGCUAUGCCACUCUGAACCCUACAGACUGAAGUCAUGACUACCUCUCCUCACACCUCUUACGGACCGGUCUCUGGCUCUCCAGAGCUAGAGCAGGGCACACUGGAGAGGAGAACACAGACGGGACACUGCUCCAUGGGUGACUCUGACUGAGAUUCUAUACAUCCUUCUGAACCGUCAAAUCUGAGAAUGGUUCUGGACACCUCGACACUGAGACCAACAAUGCAACUACAAUAGUUAAUUUCCUAACACAGUUAUGGUCAGAAAAUGAUGGAGAUAAAUCUAACAAACACCC